ensembl:lncRNA
UAAAUGUGAUGCUGCUGGUGUCCAGGAGAGUAGCUGCUGUUGAUGGUUUCUCUCCUGCCCUCUGAAAUCCUCCAGCAGUCAGUGUCAUGCAGCCAAGCAAUGGCUCCACUGGAACUCAAGCAGAAUUCUCCCAUUAAAUCGUCAGUGAGCAGCAAAGCUACACCCUUCAUGGGCAACUUUUGGCCUUACACGUGUGGAUGAAGACGCUUCCCUUGCAUUUCACCUGGAAGAUGCUCUGAGGUUCCAGCAUUAAGCAUGUUCCCUGCUCUGCUUUGACACACAUCGCCCUGCACGGCACAGAGCCUGGCCAGCUUCCUCCUCCCUCCUGGCUCCACGGGCCUCCCAGCAGGGAUGCAGCUCCAAGGCAAGAGUUUGCUGUGCAGCUCUAAGACCCCUUCAUACACCUUCUCCAUAAUCUUCUACUUCAAACAGUUUGUUAUAAGAGGAAGUGGAAAAAAUGCCUGUCAUUAUUUCUAGAUCACCAACACAGCUUCAGAAUUACCUGGGAGAACAGAAGAGAAAAGGCUCUGGAGAACAGAUGCAGUACAGCAGGAAACUUUGCCAUGAGCCCGGGCCAUUCUGAUGGCUCAAUAUAUGGUGAUUUAUUGAAAGCAAAGGUGUUUGUUUGUUUGUUUUUUUGGCUUAGGCAUUAUUAUUCUUAAUCUAGAGAAGAAGCCCAGAAGACAGUUGCAUGAAUUCCUAUCUCCAUAAAGAAAAUGUAUCAUAAGGGGCAUCUUCCUGCCGCCACUCUUUGGAGAGAAAGCCAGCAACCAUUACGAACUCUAGCACAAGCCAUUAAGUUCAGCUGAGAGAGGUAGGAUGAGGGAGAGGUUCCAUCCAUUGCACCAUGCCCACCCUGGUAGGAGCAGGCUGGGGGCUGCAAGUGCAGGGAGCUGGAAAGCCCAGCAGGCACAGGGGGACAGCAAGGGAACUCUUAUGUGGGAGCUGACACUGUGAAAUUGAAACUGUGCUGUGAAAAGUGAUCUGAGUACUGCCUAUUAGCAAGUGCUGUUAUGCCUGAAGAAAAUGAAAAAUUGCAGUAGACUCAAAUUUCCUCCCAAGUUAAAUCACACUGAUGGCAAGCUCCCUCCAUGGGUAAUAAAAAGAAUCUGAAAUAAGGAGACACGACAUGCAAGGGGCUCAAAGGAGAGCCCUCUAGCACCAUGUAAGUAAUUUCAGUUGGCUGGGAAAAGGAAGUAGUUCUCAUUUGUCAAGCUAAAUUCUCUCUCCGCUUGUUUGCUGUGGCUGCCAGGAGCUCUGACUUCCCCUUGCAGUGGGGAGCUGGUGGGUGUAAUCCCUGCUGCUGGAUACCUUACAAAUAGAAGCAACCAAGUCUUGUUUCAUCUAAUUUAAUGGCACAGCUGCAAGAUGGAAUAGUUUUUCUCCUUUUUUUUUUGCCACUGACAUGGCAGAUGCGGUCCUCAUGUGUUGAUGCAGGCUGUGGUACUGCAGCCAUUUGCGCCCCUCCUUUCUCAUUUGCACACAGAUCCAGCUGGGAUGAUUCCUGUUGCCCCUUGCACAGCCCAUCCGAUCUCCUGUGUGCAGGUCACCACUUGAGUAACGUGGAACGAGCUGCCUGCCUGAAGAACAGCCUAGGCUUUUCUUAGAGCUGCUGCCAAUAUAUUUUCUCCCAGACAAGAAGAUCCUUUUGGCUACUGCUAGGCACUGUCAGCCUAACAUCAGCAUGACCAGCACUGACCUGUGACUUCCCCUUCACCCUCUCUCUUUUAUCAACAAGUUGCUGGUGUAACGGCAGAAGCCUCCUGCUCAGCCUGCAGCUAACAGUGUGGAAGGUGCAGCCAGUGGCUUGGCUUUGGAUGGAAACACAGCAUUUGUGGGAAAAAAAAACAUAUUUUUUCAAUAUAUUAGCUGAAACAGCAGGAAAACAAAGCAGCGAGGUCUAAGGCACUCAUAGCACAAUCACUGGAGCCAUGCUCAAUUUGCCUUGCUGCCCCAGCAGCAACAGUGCAGCAUCACCAGAUCCUGAAAAUAUCUGUCCCUUUGUUUCCGAUUCCCACUACUCCUUAGCACGCACACCAGCCUCUUUAUCAAGCUGGAGAGGGGGAGAACAGCAACCGUAUUUCUGAUAGGCCAGCACUAGCAAAGAAUGUCCUGUUAUCUGCACCCUGCCCCGAAAACACUCAGGUAGGAGAUUGUUGAAGUGACAGCACCCUCCCACUCACCCUCCAACUUGCGUCCCAGCAUGCUGCCAUGCUUGCAACGUUGCCAAACCACGCGAUGCCCAGGAGCCCAGCUCCAGCAGCAAGCAUUUGCAGUUCUCCUUCAAAAAGCAGCAGAGAAGUAAAUAUGUAUUUGAAUAACUAACAACGUUUUAACAUACUGAAAAAUCAUAUUCCCUUGGAUCUUGAAAAAUUAAUUAAUCCAAAGCUCUCUUAAAAUUGCCUUUGAUAACCAAAGAGGAAAAACAAUGAGAGACUUCAAGUUUUCAUGUAUUUUAUUUACAAGCCACACGAUACAUUUAUAUACAAAUGGCUUAAAAUAACGAAGGGUAAGCAAGCUGAAGCAUAACAGUUUGAUUAUUUUAAAUUAUGUUGUCUUGAAAUAACUCCUGCAAUAAAGUAUUCUUCACCC